rnacentral:misc_RNA from 1 species
UGUAUUUUGGGUAACAUUAGGAUUGGUGAUGGAGCCAAGAUUGGGGCUUGUUCUGUGGUGUUGAAGGACGUGCCACCCAGGACCACUGCUGUUGGUAACCCAGCUAGAUUGGUUGGAGGGAAGCAGAACCCAAUUAAGCUUGACAAGAUUCCCAGUUUUACCAUGGACCACACUUCGCACAUAGCUGAGUGGUCUGAUUAU